AUUGAACGCUGGCGGCAUGCCUUACACAUGCAAGUCGAGCGGCAGCGCGGGGGCAACCCUGGCGGCGAGUGGCGAACGGGUGAGUAAUAUAUCGGAACGUACCCAAGAGUGGGGGAUAACGUAGCGAAAGUUACGCUAAUACCGCAUACGAUCUAAGGAUGAAAGCAGGGGACCGCAAGGUCUUGUGCUCCUGGAGCGGCCGAUAUCUGAUUAGCUAGUUGGUGGGGUAAAGGCCUACCAAGGCAUCGAUCAGUAGCUGGUCUGAGAGGACGACCAGCCACGCUGGGACUGAGACACGGCCCAGACUCCUACGGGAGGCAGCAGUGGGGAAUUUUGGACAAUGGGGGGCAACCCUGAUCCAGCAAUGCCGCGUGAGUGAAGAAGGCC
rnacentral:rRNA from 1 species